rnacentral:rRNA from 1 species
UACAGAGGUGGCAAGCGUUGUUCGGAAUUACUGGGCGUAAAGGGCGCGUAGGCGGCCAUCUAAGUCAGACGUGAAAUCCCCCCGGCUUAACCUGGGAACUGCGUCUGAUACUGGACGGCUUGAGUAUGGGAGAGGGAUGUAGAAUUCCAGGUGUAGCGGUGAAAAUGCGUAGAUAUCUGGAGGAAUACCGGUGGCGAAGGCGGCAUCCUGGACCAAUUCUGACACUGAGGAGCGAAAGCCAGGGGAGCAAACGGG